rnacentral:rRNA from 1 species
GAUGAACGCUAGCUACAGGCUUAACACAUGCAAGUCGAGGGGUAACAAGAGAAAAGCUUGCUUUUCUUGUUGACGACCGGCGCACGGGUGAGUAACGCGUAUCCAACCUGCCCAUAACUAGGGAAUAACCUUGCGAAAGUAAGACUAAUACCCUAUAAUUUCCUUUGACGGCAUCUGACGAGGAAUAAAGAUUUAUCGGUUAUGGAUGGGGAUGCGUCUGAUUAGCUUGUUGGCGGGGUAACGGCCCACCAAGGCAACGAUCAGUAGGGGUUCUGAGAGGAAGGUCCCCCACAUUGGAACUGAGACACGGUCCAAACUCCUACGGGAGGCAGCAGUGAGGAAUAUUGGUCAAUGGGCGGAAGCCUGAACCGGCCAAGUAGCGUGCAGGAUGACGGCCCUAUGGGUUGCAAACUGCUUUUAUACAGGAAUAAAGUUAGCCACGUGUGGUUAUUUGUAGGUACUGUAUGAAUAAGGACCGGCUAAUUCCGUGCCAGCAGCCGCAGUAA